rnacentral:rRNA from 1 species
GACGAACGCUGGCGGCGUGCCUAAUACAUGCAAGUAGAACGCUGAAGAGAGGAGCUUGCUCUUCUUGGAUGAGUUGCGCACGGGUGAGUAACGCGUAGGUAACCUGCCUUGUAGCGGGGGAUAACUAUUGGAAACGAUAGCUAAUACCGCAUAACAAUGGAUGACACAUGUCAUUUAUUUGAAAGGGGCAAUUGCUCCACUACAAGAUGGACCUGCGUUGUAUUAGCUAGUAGGUGAGGUAAUGGCUCACCUAGGCGACGAUACAUAGCCGACCUGAGAGGGUGAUCGGCCACACUGGGACUGAGACACGGCCCAGACUCCUACGGGAGGCAGCAGGAGGGAAUCUUCGGCAAUGGGGGCAACCCUGACCGAGCAACGCCGCGUGAGUGAAGAAGGGUUUCGGAUCGUAAAGCUCUGUUGUAAGCCAAGAACGGGUGUGAGAGUGGAAAGUUCACACUGUGACGGUAGCUUACCAGAAAGGGACGGCUAACUACGUG